CCUACGGGGGGCAGCAGUGAGGAAUAUUGGUCAAUGGGCGGAAGCCUGAACCAGCCAAGUCGCGUGAGGGAUUAAGGCCCUGCGGGUCGUAAACCUCUUUUGCCGGGGAGCAGAGGUCCGGACGUGUCCGGGCCGGGAGAGUACCCGGAGAAAAAGCAUCGGCAAACUCCGUGCCCGCAGCCGCGGUAAUACGGAGGAUGCGAGCAUUAUCCGGAUUUAGUGGGUUAAAGGGGUGCGUAGGCGGGCAUUUAAGCCGGCGGGCAAAUGUCGGGGCUCAACCCCGGCCUGCCGUCGGAACUGGGUGGCUUGAGUGGGCGAGAAGUAUGAGGAAUGCGUGGUGUAGCGGUGAAAUGCAUAGAUAUCACGCAGAACCCCGAUUGCGAAGGCAGCAUACCGGCGCCCUACUGACGCUGAGGCACGAAAGUGCGGGUAUCGAACAGGAUUAGAUACCCGUGUAGUC
rnacentral:rRNA from 1 species